rnacentral:rRNA from 1 species
GGAGGGAGCUAGCGUUGUUCGGAAUUACUGGGCGUAAAGCGCGUGUAGGCGGUUUUGUAAGUUAGGAGUGAAAUCCCCGGGCUCAACCUGGGAACUGCUCUUAAGACUGCAAAGCUUGAGGACGAGAGAGGAAAGUGGAAUUCCUAGUGUAGAGGUGAAAUUCGUAGAGAUUAGGAAGAACACCAGUGGCGAAGGCGGCUUCCUGGCUCGUGUCUGACGCUGAGACGCGAAAGCGUGGGGAGCAAACAGGAUUAGAUACCCUGGUAGUCCACGCCGUAAACGAUGAGUGCUAGAUGUUUGUAGGUUUAUCCUAUGGGUGUCGCAGCUAACGCGUUAAGCACUCCGCCUGGGGAUACGGUCGCAAGAUUA